rnacentral:lncRNA from 1 species
AGGAUAUAGAGCUGUAGACUGCUAGCUCUAUGUAGACCCCCAGAGGACAGGAUAUAGAGCUGUAGACCCCCAGAGGACAGGAUAUAGAGCUGUAGACCCCCAGAGGACAGGAUAUAGAGCUGUAGUCUGCUAGCUCUAUGUAGACCCCCAGAGGAUAGGAUAUAGAGCUGUAGACCCCCAGAGGACAGGAUAUAGAGCUGUAGUCUGCUAGCUCUAUGUAGACCCCCAGAGGACAGGAUAUAGAGCUGUAGACCCCCAGAGGACAGGAUAUAGAGCUGUAGACUGCUGGCUCUAUGUAGACCCCCAGAGGACAGGAUAUAGAGCUGUAGACCCCCAGAGGAUAGGAUAUAGAGCUGUAGACCCCCAGAGGACAGGAUAUAGAGCUGUAGACUGCUGGCUCUAUGUAGACCCCCAGAGGACAGGAUAUAGAGCUGUAGACCCCCAGAGGAUAGGAUAUAGAGCUGCAGACCCCCAGAGGAUAGGAUAUAGAGCUGUAGUCUGCUAGCUCUAUGUAGACCCCCAGAGGAUAGGAUAUAGAGCUAGGACACGAUAUAGAGCUGUAGACCCCCAGAGGACAGGAUAUAGAGCUGUAGUCUGCUAGCUCUAUAUAGACCCCCAGAGGAUAGGAUAUAGAGCUGUAGACCCCCAGAGGAUAGGAUAUAGAGCUGUAGACCCCCCAGAGGAUAGGAUAUAGAGCUGUAGUCUGCUGGCUCUAUGUAGACCCCCAGAGGAUAGGGAUAUAGAG